rnacentral:rRNA from 1 species
UACGUAGGGUGCGAGCGUUAAUCGGAAUUACUGGGCGUAAAGCGUGCGCAGGCGGUGAUGUAAGACAGGUGUGAAAUCCCCGGGCUUAACCUGGGAACUGCAUUUGUGACUGCAUCGCUGGAGUGCGGCGGAGGGGGAUGGAAUUCCGCGUGUAGCAGUGAAAUGCGUAGAUAUGCGGAGGAACACCGAUGGCGAAGGCAAUCCCCUGGGCCUGCACUGACGCUCAUGCACGAAAGCGUGGGGAGCAAACAGG